ensembl:lncRNA
CAGCGAGCGCCGGCCGUGCCCCUCGCCGCCCCGCAGCCGCCCGCCGCCCAGCCCGCCCCACACACCGGCCUACGCCCCGCCCCCUUCGCAACAACGCCGCGCCCUACUGGCCGGCCUCCCCCUCGCCACGCCCUCCUCCAGCAAGCGCGGCCCGCAUUGGUUACUGAGAGGGAAGGGGCGCGGCUCGGGCGUGGCCCCGGCCAUUUGAGGGCGGCGGCGGCGGGGUGCGGAGCUCUAGGGGUGCUGCUGCUGGCGGGGUGGCCGUAGGUACCCGGUGUGGAAGUAGGGCUACCGGACAGGUGUGGUACUGCCUGGGAGGAAGCUCUGGGGGCUUUGCCGAGCGUUGGUUCCCCUCAGGAUGUGAAGCUCAGCAGUGCUUAGGCCCUCCUGGGGUGGGUCUGGUGUGUCAGGCCGCUCUCCCCGGUGGGACGAGGGGCGUGAAGCGGCGGCAGCUCGGGGCUGUGGCGGUGUGGGCCCGCAGGAACGGCCUCUAGGCUGGGGUAGUACCAGUGGCUCUUCGGUGGGGCCUUUACCGUGCUCGUCUCACUCAUCUUGUCUGGGCUGUGCCCGUAACUGUGGGUUAGGGGAUGGUAACAUCCCAAAUAGCAACUACCCAAAAACGGUAUUUAAAGGUUGAGGGUCUCUUUAUAGACUGUAAACGUCCCUUUGGGCAUACAGAGAUCAGCCAUCAUGAUUCCAUGGCCCUUACUGCUGUCUCCUGCCAUCCCAUGUCGGAUACAGAGAAUCACAGAAUGGUUGGGGUUGGAAGGGACAUCAUCUAGUCCACCCCCUGCCAACACAGGUUCACCUGGAGGAGGUCGGAGAGGAACACAUCCAGGUGGGUUUUGAAAUAUCUCUUGUGGUUAUAGCAGUGUCAUAUCCUCACUGGGGGCAGAGAAGCCUCGAGAGGUGGUGAGGCCACUGUUCCUGUCUGCCUGGUCAUUUCCCAUGGGUAUGUCCACAUCUAGUAGUGUAGCCCAAAGGUGUUGAUACCAGUUGUGGUGGGUGCAGAGCACAGGAGGACAGGUUGUGGUGCUGUUACAUUCACAUAGCUGGCAGCUUACUGAAAGUUGGCUUCUGGUCAAUUGCUUGAAUUCUUCUGUUCAGGAUGUAGCUUUUCAGUAAGGUCUAUCUUAGAUACCAUAACUGAAAACCAUGCUUAAUUUAGAAUGUGUAAGUGAUGUACAAGUGCCACAUCUUAUUGUGGGAACAGAAGAAAUGAAAUAUUAAUGUAAGUCACUUUAGAUCCUGCUGGUUGCUGAUGCUUAAUGAAGGCGCUUCUUCUUGUUCAGUACCUCCUUACUCAAAGAUGAAGCAGAAGCUUUAGAAGGAUCUUGCACAAACAGAAGUGUUGGCUUAAAAUGUCCCACUGUGGUUGCGGAUUUUGCAGUGACUGUUGUGAUGUCAGUGUAGUUUUUCAGGCUUUCUUUAAACAAUGUCAGGAGGAACUGACUGAGCUGCUGUAGAGUGUAUCACGAGGUGUUCAGUAUGUCAGGCAAACCCAAAGAGGGAAACAUGACCUUUCUGCAUCUCCCUAGAGUUUAAGUGGUAAAGGAGAAAUCGUAUGUCACUUUUAUUUGAUAUAAUGACACUCUUUAAAAACAAAAAGUGGUAUGAAAAUCUAUUAAAUGUGCUUAUUUUAUAAUUAUUUAACACUUUGGAUUAUUCUAGCUUUUAAAAUACUUUUCGGGUAACA